rnacentral:rRNA from 1 species
UACAGAGGUCCCGAGCGUUGUCCGGAAUUAUUGGGCGUAAAGCGCGCGCAGGCGGUCCUUUAAGUCUGAUGUGAAAGCCCACGGCUCAACCGUGGAGGGUCAUUGGAAACUGGGGGACUUGAGUGCAGAAGAGGAAAGCGGAAUUCCACGUGUAGCGGUGAAAUGCGUAGAGAUGUGGAGGAACACCAGUGGCGAAGGCGGCUUUCUGGUCUGUAACUGACGCUGAGGCGCGAAAGCGUGGGGAGCAAACAGG